UCUAAUGCCCCACCCCUUUCUUUCACAGG
rnacentral:piRNA from 1 species